rnacentral:tmRNA from 1 species
GGGGAUGCACUGGUUUCGACGGGGGUGUGGAAACUGGAUAAGCGAGCCGAAGUCGCCCAGUCUUCGUAAAAAAGGGCCGUUAAAGAUAAACGCAAAAACUAACAAUAAUUUCGCACUGGCAGCUUAGUUCUGCCCCGCGCGUCCGCCUGAGUUCACCUGCAGGCCCAGUGCCGGACGUCAAACAUGCAGGAAAACCUUAUGCGUGAUCCCGGCCGCAUAAGGGACUAACGGGAUAGUCUUUCGGUCAGUUCGUUUCCGGACGGGCAGAAGGGCGAAUUAUAAAUCGGAAACUGCGCUCGGAGAAAUUCCGGUGAAAAUGCUUUCGGACACGGGUUCAAUUCCCGUCAUCUCCACCA